GACGAACGCUGGCUGCGUGCUUAACACAUGCAAGUCGAACGGAAAGGCCCUGCUUUUGUGGGGUGCUCGAGUGGCGAACGGGUGAGUAACACGUGAGUAACCUGCCCUUGACUUUGGGAUAACUUCAGGAAACUGGGGCUAAUACCGGAUAGGAGCUCCUGCUGCAUGGUGGGGGUUGGAAAGUUUCGGCGGUUGGGGAUGGACUCGCGGCUUAUCAUCUUGUUGGUGGGGUAGUGGCUUACCAAGGCUUUGACGGGUAGCCGGCCUGAGAGGGUGACCGGCCACAUUGGGACUGAGAUACAGCCCACACUCCUACGGGAGGCAGCAGUGGGGAAUAUUGCACAAUGGGCGGAAGCCUGAUGCAACAACGCCGCGUGCGGGAUGACAGCCUUCGGGUUGUAAACCGCUUUCGCCUGUGACGAAGCGUGAGUGACGGUAAUGGGUAAAGAAGCACCGGCUAACUACGUGCCAACAGCCGCGGUGAUACGUAGGGUGCGAGCGUUGUCCGGAUUUAUUGGGAGUAAAGGGCUCGUAGGUGGUUGAUCGCGUCGGAAGUGUAAUCUUGGGGCUUAACCCUGAGCGUGCUUUCGAUACGGGUUGACUUGAAGAAGGUAGGGAGAAAUGGAAUUCCUGGUGGAGCGGUGGAAUGCGCAGAUAUCAGGAGGAACACCAGUGGCGAAGGCGGUUCUCUGGGCCUUUCCUGACGCUGAGGAGCGAAAGCGUGGGGAGCGAACAGGCUUAGAUACCCUGGUAGUCCACGCUGUAAACGGUGGGUACUAGGUGUGGGGUCCAUUCCACGGGUUCCGUGCCGUAGCUAACGCUUUAAGUACCCCGCCUGGGGAGUACGGCCGCAAGGCUAAAACUCAAAGGAAUUGACGGGGCCCCGCACAAGCGGCGGAGCAUGCGGAUUAAUUCGAUGCAACGCGUAAAACCUUACCUGGGUUUGACAUGGAUCGGGAGUGCUCAGAGAUGGGUGUGCCUCUUUUGGGGUCGGUUCACAGGUGGUGCAUGCCUGUCGUCAGCUCGUGUCGUGAGAUGUUGGGUUAAGUCCCGCAACGAGCGCAACCCUUGUUCACUGUUGCCAGCACGUUAUGGUGGGGACUCAGUGGAGACCGCCGGGGUCAACUCGGAGGAAGGUGGGGAUGACGUCAAGUCCUCAUGCCCCUUAUGUCCAGGGCUUCACGCAUGCUACAAUGGCUGGUACAGAGAGUGGCGAGCCUGUGAGGGUGAGCGAAUCUCGGAAAGCCGGUCUCAGUUCGGAUUGGGGUCUGCAACUCGACCUCAUGAAGUCGGAGUCGCUAGUAAUCGCAGAUCAGCAACGCUGCGGUGAAUACGUUCCCGGGGCU
rnacentral:rRNA from 1 species